AGCAAGUAACAGAGACAAGAAACUAAGGCAGAACUGCCUGACUUAGCAGCUCCCAUGUAAUUGCAGAGUUAUAAUGCUCAUUUGGAAGUUAUUGAAAACAACUGAGCUAAGUCUAAAAAAAUGGAGAAAGCCAGAUUCGUUCAUUACAGUGUUCAAUAAAGGUUUUAAAGAAGCACGGGUGGAACUCCUUUCAGCAAUGAAUUUGAGUCUAGAUGGAGAAUGAGAAAAGGUAGCACACAAAGUGACUUGCUAAUGCACAACAGCCUCAAGGAAGCUAAAAGUUUGAGAAUCAGCUUAGAAGUUUCUAUGUGAAGAGAAAACAGGAAGUCAUUCCAGCAGCAGCCGCCUCUGCUCCACUCUUCGUCUUGCUCACACUCCAUGCUGCCAAAUGGAAACUAAGGUGUUCAGGGAAUGGGGCAUACUUCCACAAAUUCCAUUUUAAAAUGGAUUGAUCAAGAAGUCCUUCCUCGGGUUAACCCUUACAUGGUGUUAAGAAGAAUUUCACCAAGUGGAUCUCAUUAUUGCAGACCCAUUGAGAUUGGAAGCUUCCUUCCACAAAGGAGCAAUGCACUGUUAUGUGAAGACUGGUGGAUCUCUAGUCGGCUGCAGCUGAGAUACAGAAAGCAUGGAAUUUCUAAGUUACUAUAAGACUCUGGGGAGCCUUAGCUUACCGGGGACCCCCUGAGUGAACCAUGUGGAGCUGGGAUAGAGGCAAAAAGCAAGAGGAAUUAUAUUGUUCCAGUGCACUGGGUUCAUCCCAGACCUGAAGGAGAGG
rnacentral:lncRNA from 1 species